GUCUUCAGGCUAGCUGUUUGAGA
rnacentral:piRNA from 1 species